GUGAGGAAUAUUGGUCAAUGGGCGCAAGCCUGAACCAGCCAUCCCGCGUGAAGGACGACGGCCCUAUGGGUUGUAAACUUCUUUUGUACGGGAAGCACGUGCGCUAUGUAUAGCGUAUUGACGGUACCGUACGAAUAAGCAUCGGCUAACUCCGUGCCAGCAGCCGCGGUAAUACGGAGGAUGCGAGCGUUAUCCGGAUUCAUUGGGUUUAUAGGGUGCGUAGGCGGCCCGGUAAGUCAGCGGUGAAAGUUUGCGGCUCAACCGUAAAAUUGCCGUUGAUACUGUCGGGCUUGAGUUCAGAUGAAGUGGGCGGAAUGAGUAGUGUAGCGGUGAAAUGCUUAGAUAUUACUCAGAACACCGAUUGCGAAGGCAGCCCACUAAACUGCGACUGACGCUGAUGCACGAAAGCGUGGGGAUCGAACAGGAUUAGAAACCCCAGUAGUCC
rnacentral:rRNA from 1 species